rnacentral:lncRNA from 1 species
AUAUUAUUUGGCACAUGACAUAUAUAAAGAAAAUAGAUACUGACAAAUCACUUGGGACAAUCAACAUAUACCCUAACGACCCUUUAUAUCAAAGCUAAAGUCGUGGGUAAUUAUAGUUCAGAUCUAUUUUCCUUUUGAAUUUCAACCAAAAAUUAAAAUACCGGAUAUCCCUUUGCCAAAUUGGACACCAUUAUAACAUAAGUGGCUUUACAACGCAAUAAUUGCGUCUUCUUAGUGCUCCACGAAACAGGCCACAGACCACAAUUAAUUCCUCUAUCAGUUCUUUAUAACAUUUUGUAUCAUUAAAAAAAUUGCAACAUGCACGUUUGUCAAUUUUGUGUGUGUGUGUGUGUAAUGUAUAGUACUAGUCCAAAUACAUAUCUAGAAUUCAGAAAGAUUGAAGCAAUCACUUUUACAAAUUUAGCCAAUACACAUUCAUACCCCUAUUAACAAGUCAAGAGCUGUUCCGAAAACUUUCAAUAUCAUCUUUUUGCACUUGGCCUAAUCACUCAUUCCAAAUCAAAAUCAGUUUACAUACAACAU